CCCUAGCCCAGAUUAAACGGCAUCCUUUUUCGGGGCGGCCGCAGCGAAGCGGAGGCCGUCACGAAAAAGAUAUAGUGGAAAGAUGGAAGUAGC
rnacentral:sRNA from 1 species